rnacentral:lncRNA from 1 species
CGGUGACUCCCCCUCACACAGCAGCUCCCCCCACACACGGCCCUCCCCCCACACACACACCCGGCGGCUCCCCCACACAGAGCUGGGAGGCUCCAGUACUCUCGGAGCUUGGCUGGGGCUCCUGGGGAGGGCCGUGGCUCCUCCUCACCCGCUGGGGAGCCAGGAGUUCCAGGCCUCCUGCCCUGGUCACCUACGCGUCACCUAAGCCCCGAGGCCAGGCGGCUUCUUGUCUACUAAAGACUUCCGGAGAGAGGCAUUCACCCUGUGGUCAGAGCUGGGGUUUCCAUGGAGGAGCACCACAGCCAUAAAGAAAGUUAUGGAGGCUGUGAAGUGCAAGGUCAAGAGGCUGCAUCUGGUGAAGACCUUCUUGCUGGUAGGGUCUCUCUACCUGGUCCUGAGGCAGUCCAGGGCAUCACAUGGCUGGUGAGCCCCAGAGCGGAGGACCCUGCCGAGCUGUUUCCAGACUCCUGAUCCACAGAAACCGUGAGAGGAUAACAUUGUUCUGCUUGAAGCCACUACACCUGCCGUCACUUGUCUCGCAUCAUUAGGGAACCAACGUGCUCUGGAAGACAGCAACUCUCAGGGUCCAUUCCGCUGACACCAGCGCCUCAGAUGACACAGGACGUGGCAUGGUGGCUAUUGACUCAUCAAGGGAACAGCAAUGGUAACAACAAAACCUGGUUGUUCAGAAGUCACACACUCAAGGCCCUACGGGGCCAAGAGGGGUCCAGGAGCAGCCCAGUGAGCGGGGCAGGGGAGGGGUGCAGUCCACCCAGGACCCGUGCUGCCCACAGGCUGCUGCUGUGCUCGGAGAGGGCCUGCCACAUGUGUCCGCAGAGAGAAUCCGGGAAUGCAAAUUUCUAAGCGAAUUUCUCCAUACUUCAAUGUUUGACAAUCAGUAAUUUUUCUUUGUAAUUGAUUUUUUAAAUGUGAAACUCUUUUCAGGCAAACAAAACACACUUGCAGGCUGCCAUUACACAAUUUUGUUUUAAUCAUUUUAAGGUCUUCAUUGUCUUUUACACAAAAGCUGGGAAUAUUCUCCCUCUUUCCAGAAUUCAACUGGUUUAGUGACUAGGAAGAUAUUUUGUAAUACAUUUUUUUAAAAAAGAAAACCAUGAAGGAAUAUUUCAAAUAAGAAGCUGACUAGCUUAAAUUAAUAGCUGUUAAGUAUUAAAUAUGAUGUGCUUUCUCUUAAACUAGGCCACUCUGCACCUUGCAUUCCUAUCCUUUUUUGGGCUUCAGAUCAGAAAUCGCAACUUUUGCGUGGAGAUCCUGGGCCUCCACACUGCUGGCCUCCCAUCGUCCCAAGAAUGACUCCCUGGAAAGAGCCUGUUCAGACCCUUUGUGACUGGACUCUACUGUAAGAGGAGAAUCAAAUGCUUGCAAGAAAACUGUAAAGCAGAGUUUCCUAAAAUACAUUUCAUAAGCGUGAGUGCCAGGAGUGCCUUAAAAAUGUGACUCUAUUGUCAAAUAAGUUGGGCAAUUUACUGAAGUAUACAUGAAUAUGUUAAAACCUCCAAGGAGUCCUGAAUUUAAAACAAACCUACACACAAAAACAAAGGUAUUUUUUAACCUAUCUGUUU